UACGUAGGGUGCAAGCGUUGCCCGGAUUUAUUGGGCGUAAAGGGCGCGUAGGCGGCUCGACACGUUCGUUGUGAAAUCGCCCGGCUCAACUGGGCGGGGUCAGCGAAUACGGUCGAGCUUGAGCAAGCUAGGGGGCAAUGGAAUUCCCGGUGUAGUGGUGGAAUGCGUAGAUAUCGGGAGGAACACCAGUGGCGAAGGCGGCAUCCUGGACCACGACUGACACUGAAAAGCGAAAGCCAGGGGAGCAAACGGG
rnacentral:rRNA from 1 species